CUCGGCAAAUCCGCGUACGCGCCUGAUUUGCUUCUGCUUUUCUUUAAGUCAGUCAAUAAUCUCUUUUUCAGAGCUCUUUCCAUACUGUGGAGCAUCUCUAACCCAGAACAAAGCAUGAAUGUGUGGACUACCUCGCUGCUGGAACUCAACUCUAUAAAAGAAGUCUACAUUUUCUCCAGCUGGUGCUGCAUUACUUUUUAGUACAUCGCGGAGGAAUAUUUGAACCAUGUGAUCAAAAUUCCUAGCACGUGACAGGAUCUUUUUGAAUAAGAACAGACUUUUCCUGUCAAUUCAUUUGAUUAAUUUCAUCAUCAGUAUAAUUCUUAUUAGCGAACCUAAGAUGAAAUGAUACAAAUAUUACUUCUUUUUCUUGUAUGCCCAUAUUUGGGGCGUAGAAGAGCUACGAUUUCUACCAGGCGGUGUGCGCACUACAACCGCAAAGCAUCAUAGGUAAAAUAGAAAUUCCAGCCUAUUUGGUGCUAGCCGUCGUUGAGUAAACAUCUCUCCGCCGUUGAUAUAGCGCGCGUACCCAGCUGUAAGAAAGCAUGACCAAAACAUAGGGAUUAACAGCAUUCUUCCUUUUCUUAAGAAAAUACCUGGCAUUUUCCAGUUAAAAAAACAUAAAAGUGUUCAAGGGGAAGACAGUAGCGGUAGAUGCGUCGUGUUGGAUCCAUAAAUUUCUGUAUCUUUCCAUGCGAGACCAGGGGAAUCGCGAUGGACUAAAAGCAGGCUAUCUCAAACACUUAAAACUUCUGACAGGGGCUGGGGUAACCCCAAUGGUCAUUUUUGACGAGUUGGCACUGCCAGCGAAAGAGGUUGAAAAUAAAAGAAGACAGAAAAAUAGACUUGCGUAUCUGAGAAAGUGCAAUAUGUUGUAGCCCCGUACGAAGCAGACGCGCAAAUUGCCUACCUUAUGAAAUCUGGUGUGGCAGAUCCUGCCUUAAUUGAAGACGCGGACCUGCUUGCAUAUGGUUGCUCCAAGGAAAGCAUUCUAAGAAGAAUCAUAGAGGAUGCAGAUAAGGAAGAAGAAGAAAGGAAAAGAAAAAGAGAAAGGAAGGAGAAAGAAAAAGCCAAUUUGUUAAAAGCUUUGAUAUUAAGGAGAAAACACAUAAACCAACAAGAACUCCAAAC